CUUAUCUAGAUGAUAUUGUUUUAUCUAGAUGAUAGUGUGUUACUUAUCUAGAUAUUGUGUUACUUAUCUAGAUGAUAUUGUGUUACUUAUCUAGAUGGUAGUGUGUUACUUAUCUAGAUGGUACCCAACUCUUCAGGGUAUAGAUUUGUGAGAAUGUUAAGGCAGGGAGAGAAAAAAAGGAAAACCGCUCACUGAAAGGUCAGAACACUUUUUUGUUUGUUUGUCCUACAACAUUUUUGAAGAAAUGUCUAGGAAACGUGACUGUGCCUUUGUAGACAAAAAGACUCAGAGAAACAGGCGGUGUUUUAUACAAGCUUUAUUACAACUUGGUUAACAGCUGUACAUGUCAGAGCGUAGGAAGCACAUUUUAUCAACAAGUUUCAAAUGGACAGGUAACUAUGACCACUAAUGUCCUCCUCCACUGUUUGUUAGUCCCAUACAGUGUGUACAUAUUAUACAAGCAGCAAUAUAAAACUUGGCAAAUGGAAAGGUUUUUUGCUACUUUAUUUUUUAAUGUAAAAUAAGUCUUUCCUAUGAAUAAAAAAUACAGCAACCAUAAAACCUGGCGAUUAAGUUCUGACUGAAAAGCCUCAGUUCUUUAAACUGUAUUUUCUCCUAGAGGUUUUUUUAGCCUCUAGGAAAACCAGAUUGAACGCUACGCUCACAAUUGUUUGAAACAUUCAGUCUGGUGUAACUAUGCUAGAGGUUUAUUGUCCUGUGUAGAACACUGGCCUGGUCCCAGAUCACUUGUCAAGACAGCACACACUGAUCUGGGACCAGGCCAGGAGACUAACCGAUCUGGGACCAGGCCAGGAGACUAAGAUCUGGGACCAGGCCAGAAGACUAACCAAUCUGGGACCAGGCCAGGAGACUAACCAAUCUGGGACCAGGCCAGGAGACUAACCGAUCUGGGACCAGGCCAGGAGACUAACCGAUCUGGGACCAGGCCAGGAGACCAACCGAUCUGGGACCAGGCCAGGAGACUAACCGAUCUGGGACCAGGCCAGGAGACUAACCGAUCUGGGACCAGGCCAGGAGACUAACCGAUCUGGGACCAGGCCAGGAGACUAACUGAUCUGGGACCAUGCCAGGAGACCAACCGAUCUGGGACACAAGUAGUAACACGUUGCCCUACCAAUCAUAUCACCACAUGUCAGGAGACUAGUAUUUAACACAAGUAGAGACACGUUGCCCUACCAAUCAUAUCACCACAUGUCAGGAGACUAGUAUUUAACACAAGUAGUAACAGCCAUACAAAGUUCAUCAGUUACAUAAUAAUAUGGACACAUCCUUUUAUUAUAAACUGAAAAAAACACAGUAUCAGCAACAAGUCAAUAAGUCUAGUCUUACUCACACCGGUUUGGUUUUUACACUCGAGGCGAAAGCACUUUCAACAUGUUCAUGAUAUAACAUGAUAGGAAAGAUCCUCUUUGACUUCUACCCGUCUGUCCAUUGGUUAGUGGUCCAUUAGUGACGCAGCGGGUCUAGAGGCAUCGCUACAGACCCGGGUUCGAUCCCGGGCCCAGUGUCGUCCGGGCUAGGGGAAGGUUUGAACAGGGUAGGCCGUCAUUGUAAAUAAGAAUUGUUCUUGCUUAGUUCAAUAAAGGUUCAAUAAAAAAUGAAAACGUGUGUUUGUUCUCGUACUAAAAUGAAUGUUUUAUACUGGACAGGUGGAGGUAGAACAUCCCCAUUUCAGUCCGUUUUCUAACGUUUGGUGCCUAAUGAACAUGACCCGGGACAGGGCAGUCUUACUACGUGGGCCAUCUGCUAAUGAACCACGACCCGGGACAGGGCAGUCUUACUACGUGGGCCAUCUGCUAAUGAACCACGACCCGGGACAGGGCAGUCUUACUGCGUGAGCCAUCUGCUAAUGAACCACGACCCGGGACAGGGCAGUCUUACUGCGUGAGCCAUCUGCUAAUGAACUACGACCCGGGACAGGGCAGUCUUACUGCGUGGGCCAUCUGCUAAUGAACCACGACCCGGGACAGGGCAGUCUUACUGCGUCGGCCAUCUGCUAAUGAACCACGACCCGGGACAGGGCAGUCUUACUGCGUCCGCCAUCUGCUAAUGAACCACGACCCGGGACAGGGCAGUCUUACUGCGUCGGCCAUCUGCUAAUGAACCACGACCCGGGACAGGGCAGUCUUACUGCGUCCGCCAUCUGCUAAUGAACCACGACCCGGGACAGGGCAGUCUUACUGCGUCCGCCAUCUGCUAAUGAACCACGACCCGGGACAGGGCAGUCUUACUGCGUCGGCCAUCUUGCUGUAUUUUUUCAAAAAGGCUCUGCCAUGGCAUCCUAUCAACAAGCCUACUUGUUUUAUAAAAAGGUUAGAGAAAGGUUUUACACAUUUUAUACAAUGUAGGAAAUGUAUGAAUCUAAGUCAAUACUGCAUAUGUAUGCAUGAAUCUAAGUCAAUACUGCAUAUGUAAGGCGAAUAAAAACAGGAAUACAUAUCAAAGUCAUAAAGGCUAGAUAGAAGCAUGUGAUCUCUUCUACCAAUUUAAAGAGAGAGAAACACAUCGAGGUUAUUAUCAGUGAAAUAAAGAAGCAGAGCACUCCUUACAUAGAGAAGUCAUCAGAACACUUAAACGGAAAUACAUGGAAACUGAACAUCUAGACUGAGUGUAGAAAACAUUAAGAACACCUGCUCUUUCCGUGACAUAGAGCCCCCCAACUCAACUCUGGAACAGUUUGAAUCCAGGUCUGAUUUAGACAUGGGACACCAGGGCCUGAUUUAGACAUGGGACACCAGGGUCUGGUUUAGACAUGGGACACCAGGGCCUGAUUUUGACAUGGGACACCAGGGUCUGAUUUAGACAUGGGACACCAGGGUCUGAUUUAGACAUGGGACACCAGGGUCUGAUUUAGACAUGGGACACCAGGGCCUGAUUUAGACAUGGGACACCAGGGUCUGAUUUUGACAUGGGACACCAGGGCCUGAUUUAGACAUGGGACACCGGUGCCUGGUUUAGACAUGGGACACCAGGGUCUGGUUUAGACAUGGGACACCAGGGCCUGAUUUAGACAUGGGACACCGGGGCCUGGUUUAGACAUGGGACACCGGGGCCUGAUGGGACACCAGGGCC
ensembl:lncRNA